UACGAAGGUCCCGGGCGUUGUUCGGAAUCACUGGGCGUAAAGGGAGCGUAGGCGGCGUGGCAAGUCAGACGUGAAAGCCCGGGGCUCAACCCCGGAACUGCGUCCGAUACUGCCGUGCUCUGAGGGUUGGAGAGGUAGCUGGAAUUCUUGGUGUAGCAGUGAAAUGCGUGGAGAUCAAGAGGAACACUCGUGGCGAAAGCGAGCUACUGGACAACACCUGACGCUGAGGCUCGAAGGCCAGGGUAGCGAAAGGG
rnacentral:rRNA from 1 species